GGAGUUCGUCGUGCGGGGACGGCGCGGUGCUGGGCGGCUGCAGGCUUCGUCAGAGCGCGCCUCUUGUCGGGAUGAGGCGCGGAGGACGGUUUGCUCUGCCGUCCGUGUCGACACGGACCCGAAGAGCAUCAUGUACUGAGUUUGAGGUGUAGAGACCUGUUGCUGCUCCCGACCUCCUUUGGGCUGGAGCUGGCUGACCUGCCGGCUGCUCCAUUCUACAGGGACAAAGCUGCUCUCCUCACUGCUCCUCCACUCCAGGACUGAACGUCCAGAGCCCAGCUCACCUUAACAGAGCAAUCAUUUGUGAAGUGAUUUCCCCAGAAUAAGCAUGCUUGCAAGUGGAAAAUUUCCUGCACAUAAUGGGAAGGUGCCUGAGCAUUUUACAGACCUGAGAUUGCAUCGAUACGCCUUUGGAAGGUUCCAGGCAAAAAGGCUUUCCUUCUGUCUUUCCCAAUGAGACUUCAGUUUAGAGCCCUACAUAAUAUUUGCGUGAAACCUGCAGCACCCUUCCUUACCAUGACUGCAGAUCAACAGACCGUGAUUGUUGUAGACUGUGCAGCAAGAGGUGAGACCUACAGGCUGCUCCCUGCCAACGCUCUUCCUCCACAGUGCAUGAAGUUCUCUGAAACAUCUCCAGCUUUGCCUUCCAAAGAUUCACAAGAGAUUGAGGCAGAGUGGCAGUGAAAAAUGUUGAUGUAUCAAUAGCCUGGGACCCCACUUGCUCCACUGCCCUGAGAGAUUGCAACAGGAUGCUCCCCUGCUCUUAGUCCAGGACUGGUUUCAAGUCUCCAGAUGCUGCAGAUGGCUCCCUUAUGGCUGUCAGUGAUGUAUGUCCAGCUGUUGCAUCACAUUCUGCUCACAUGCUGAGGAACAUCUCAAAGUGCCAAAAAGUGGUUAUUACGUUAUUUAGAAAACAACAAGAGAAAAAACACUCCAACCAACCAAGCAAGCAAUAAAACCACCCAUAAACUGGCAUCCAUGCUGCUGCUGUCAAAACAACCAAUAUGCCUAAUGAAGUGUCCUUCUUGAGGAAAAUAUGAAUUGAAAUAGAAUUGACAUAAUGUCUGAAAAUCAAGCACAUGAUCAU